rnacentral:rRNA from 1 species
UACAGAGGGGGCAAGCGUUGUUCGGAAUUACUGGGCGUAAAGGGCGCGUAGGCGGCCUGCUAAGUCGAACGUGAAAUCCCUGGGCUCAACCCAGGAACUGCGUCCGAUACUGGUUGGCUUGAAUCCGGGAGAGGGACGUGAAAUUCCAGGUGUAGCGGUGAAAUGCGUAGAUAUCUGGAGGAACACCGGUGGCGAAGGCGACGUCCUGGACCGGUAUUGACGCUGAGGCGCGAAAGCCAGGGGAGCAAACGGG